GUACACAAAAAUGCACAUGCUGUGAGCUCGAUGAGUAGGGCGGGACACGUGGUAUCCUGUCUGAAUAUGGGGGGACCAUCCUCCAAGGCUAAAUACUCCUGACUGACCGAUAGUGAACCAGUACCGUGAGGGAAAGGCGAAAAGAACCCCGGCGAGGGGAGUGAAAAAGAACCUGAAACCGUGUACGUACAAGCAGUGGGAGCACGCUUAGGCGUGUGACUGCGUACCUUUUGUAUAAUGGGUCAGCGACUUAUAUUCUGUAGCAAGGUUAACCGAAUAGGGGAGCCGAAGGGAAACCGAGUCUUAACUGGGCGUUAAGUUGCAGGGUAUAGACCCGAAACCCGGUGAUCUAGCCAUGGGCAGGUUGAAGGUUGGGUAACACUAACUGGAGGACCGAACCGACUAAUGUUGAAAAAUUAGCGGAUGACUUGUGGCUGGGGGUGAAAGGCCAAUCAAACCGGGAGAUAGCUGGUUCUCCCCGAAAGCUAUUUAGGUAGCGCCUCGUGAAUUCAUCUCCGGGGGUAGAGCACUGUUUCGGCAAGGGGGUCAUCCCGACUUACCAACCCGAUGCAAACUGCGAAUACCGGAGAAUGUUAUCACGGGAGACACACGGCGGGUGCUAACGUCCGUCGUGAAGAGGGAAACAACCCAGACCGCCAGCUAAGGUCCCAAAGUCAUGGUUAAGUGGGAAACGAUGUGGGAAGGCCCAGACAGCCAGGAUGUUGGCUUAGAAGCAGCCAUCAUUUAAAGAAAGCGUAAUAGCUCACUGGUCGAGUCGGCCUGCGCGGAAGAUGUAACGGGGCUAAACCAUGCACCGAAGCUGCGGCAGCGACGCUUAUGCGUUGUUGGGUAGGGGAGCGUUCUGUAAGCCUGCGAAGGUGUGCUGUGAGGCAUGCUGGAGGUAUCAGAAGUGCGAAUGCUGACAUAAGUAACGAUAAAGCGGGUGAAAAGCCCGCUCGCCGGAAGACCAAGGGUUCCUGUCCAACGUUAAUCGGGGCAGGGUGAGUCGACCCCUAAGGCGAGGCCGAAAGGCGUAGUCGAUGGGAAACAGGUUAAUAUUCCUGUACUUGGUGUUACUGCGAAGGGGGGACGGAGAAGGCUAUGUUGGCCGGGCGACGGUUGUCCCGGUUUAAGCGUGUAGGCUGGUUUUCCAGGCAAAUCCGGAAAAUCAAGGCUGAGGCGUGAUGACGAGGCACUACGGUGCUGAAGCAACAAAUGCCCUGCUUCCAGGAAAAGCCUCUAAGCAUCAGGUAACAUCAAAUCGUACCCCAAACCGACACAGGUGGUCAGGUAGAGAAUACCAAGGCGCUUGAGAGAACUCGGGUGAAGGAACUAGGCAAAAUGGUGCCGUAACUUCGGGAGAAGG
rnacentral:rRNA from 1 species